rnacentral:rRNA from 1 species
GAAAUGCGAUAAGUAAUGUGAAUUGCAGAAUUCAGUGAAUCAUCGAAUCUUUGAACGCACCUUGCGCUCCUUGGUAUUCCGAGGAGCAUGCCUGUUUGAGUGUCAUUAAUAUAUCAAACCCUCAUCUUGUUUGUUGAGUGGUUUGGAUGUGGGGGUUUGUUGGCCUCGUAAAAAAGGGUUCAGCUCCUCUGAAAUGCAUUAGCAGAACAACCUGUGUUCAUUGGUGUGAUAACUAUCUACGCUAUUGAAUGUGUGGGGCAGUUCAGCUUUCUAACGGUCCUUUGGACAAAUAUUCAUCAUUUAUGUGACCUCAAAUCAGGUAGGACUACCCGCUGAACUUAA